rnacentral:rRNA from 1 species
CCUACGGGAGGCAGCAGUGAGGAAUAUUGGACAAUGGGCGCAAGCCUGAUCCAGCCAUGCCGCGUGCAGGAAGACGGUCCUAUGGAUUGUAAACUGCUUUUAUACAGGAAGAAACACCUCUACGUGUAGAGACUUGACGGUACUGUAUGAAUAAGCAUCGGCUAACUCCGUGCCAGCAGCCGCGGUAAUACGGAGGAUGCAAGCGUUAUCCGGAAUCAUUGGGUUUAAAGGGUCCGUAGGCGGUUUAAUAAGUCAGUGGUGAAAGCCCAUCGCUCAACGAUGGAACGGCCAUUGAUACUGUUAAACUUGAAUUAUUAGGAAGUAACUAGAAUAUGUAGUGUAGCGGUGAAAUGCUUAGAGAUUACAUGGAAUACCAAUUGCGAAGGCAGGUUACUACUAAUAUAUUGACGCUGACGGACGAAAGCGUGGGGAGCGAACAGGAUUAGAUACCCUGGUAGUCCACGCCGUAAACGAUGGAUACUAGCUGUUCGGAGCAAUCUGAGUGGCUAAGCGAAAGUGAUAAGUAUCCCACCUGGGGAGUACGUUCGCAAGAAUGAAACUCAAAUGAAUUGACGG